GGAAGUUUAAAAAAUGGACAAUUCAUUUUGAAUUAGGAAAAUGUCCCUGAAAACUGGGAAUUCUUGGACAUCCGGGAAUUUUUUUAAAUUGUUGAAGUAGAGCACACAAUUUUGAACAGACUGAAUAUUUUGGAGUUGCAACAGUUUGAAUCAGAUAAAAAUCUGGCGGCUUAGUUGCCAGAAUUUUUGUGUUAAAUUGACAUUGGUUUUUACAACAUGAUAUUGUUCAUGGAAAAACAGUACAAAUAUUUUUUUUAUUCUGGCAACUGAGCUGCCAGUUUUUCUACCGUAAAAACAAAUGUACCGUCUUUCCAUUUACAGUACAGUUAAAAACAACAACCGUAUAUUUUACAGUCAAAAACUGGCAGCUCAGUCAACAGAAUUUUCACGCAAAAAACGGUAAUAUGCUGUAGACAAGGUAAAAUUUAUUUUCAUUUUAUUAUUUGAUGGGUAGUUUGCUGUAAAGUUAAGUAUUUUUUAUUUAGACAAAAAUAUGUUUGGAAAGUAUAAUAUACUGUAAUAUUUGUUGCAAUAAUGGAUACUAUUAAAGUUGAAAAGGCAUGCAAAUUCAAGCAGUACAUAUAUUUUUUCUGUCAUAUUUAGUGAGAAAAUAUGAAGUACUUUAUUGACACAUAUCAUUUCCAGGUGUUUGUGGGCCAGAUAAAAUAAUGUUGCGGGCCGUAUCUGGCCCCUGGGCCUUGAGUUUGACAAGUGUGGCCUAAAACCACCUUUAGACGUGUUCCCUGGGCAAUACUUUAAUGACCAUUGUGGAGAAUGCAUAUAUUUUUGAUAUACUUCAGUUAGGGCUGGGCGAUAUGGCCUUUUUUUAAUAUCUCGAUAUUUUUAGGCCAUAUCGCGAUACACCAUAUAUAUGUGGAUAUUUUGCCUUAGCCUUGAAUGAACACUUGAUGCAUAUAAUCACAGCAGUAUGAUGAUUCUAUGUGUCUACAUUAAAACAUUCUUCUUCAUACUGCAUUAAUAUAUGCUACUUUUAAACUUUCAUGCAGAGAGGGAAAUCACAACUAAGUCAAUUUAGCAAAAGUGUAUUUAUGAAACAGUUAUUAAGCAGUGGCACAAACAUUCAUGUCAUUUACAAACAGAAAGUGCAAGAUUGUCAGAGACAUUUUAAAACAAGCUAUUAGUGCACUUUUGUGCAUGAUGUCAUUUUCUAUAUUGCACAGAGACAAACCCGCAAUAUAUCGAGUAACCGGUAUAUCAAUAUAUCGCCCAGCCCUAACUUCAGUAUAACAUUGUAUUGUGUGAUCAUGCUGCUGGUACUUUUCCAGUAGCAUGCGGCCGGUAUACUUUUGUUGCCUUAUUAUCUGUUGUUGAUUUCCAUUAUUUGGUCCUGGAGUGUCCAGUGUCUUGCACAAACAUGAUGAAUCACUCCUCAAAAGGGAUUCAGUUCCAUUCCGUGAAGGACACGGUCCCUCUUCUUAUCAGCAGGUGCAUCCCUCUCUGUGUAUGCGGGCCAGAUGCCUUGAGUUGACACCUGUGGUAUAGCGUCUAAGUUGUGCUGUGUACAAUCCACACCUGGUGAAAACCCCUGCAGCUAGUCCCAAGGGGGUGUCGUUGGCGCGCUGCAGCACCUCCUCUUCUGUGUCAAAGGGCAGCACACACAUGACGGGACCAAAGAUCUCCUCCCUCACGCAGGUCAUGUCAUCUUUGCAAUCAGCUGUGGGAGGAGGAAGAGGAGUGCGUGAGUACAAUCGCUUGAUUCCACACCUAAACUGUGAAAAUAGUCAACACUUUAGAAGCACAAAGGUCUCACCAAGUACACACGGUGUCAUGUAGUAUCCACCUUUCAGUUUAGGGUCUGAGGGGACAAAGGGUGUACCCCCACACAACACUACAGCCCCCUGGAAAUGCAAUAUUGGAAGAAGAGAUCCAUAAAACGUCAAAAAAUUAUUUGCAACCAAAAAAAUUGUAAGUGAAAAAUGAUUUGAAACUUAAAGUAACUAUUUGCAAGUAACAAACAUGAUUUGUAACCUAAAAAAAUUACUUGCACCCAGAAAAGAGAUCCACAACUCUAAAGCGAUUUACAACAACAACAAAAAAGAUAUACAACCAAAUAAGAUUUGCAAAAAAAAAUUAAAAAAACAUGAUUUGCAACAAAAAAAACGACUUCUAGCAAAAAAAUAUUUGCCACCAAAAAACUAACAAAUUAUUUGCAAGUAAAACAUAAUUUGAUGAAAAUAAUUUGCCACCAAACAAACAAAAAAAUAAACAACUAAAACAUGAUUUAAUUGCAAAAAAAGAUUUGCAACCAACAAACUUAGAUAAAAAAAACAUUUGCCCUCACAAAAUGAUUUGUUACGAAAAAUGGUUUGCAAACAAACAAAACAAAGAUUUGCAUUUCAAACAAUGAUUUGCUUACAAAAAACAUAAACAAAAAAUGACAAGCGAAAAACUUAUUUGCAACCAAAAAAUGUGCAUCUAAAAGAAAAAUUUGUAGGCAAAAAAAAGAUUUGGUUCCAAAAGACAAUCUGCAACCAAAAGGAAGCUUUGAGAAAUAUUUGUAACCAAAAAACAAAAAACAAAAAAAUAAAUAAACAACCAAAAUUUAUAAGCAAAAAAUAUUUUCAACCAACAAACUUACAUCAAAAAAAGAUUUGCACUCACAAAAUGAUUUGUUACCAAAAAUGGUUUGCAAACAAACAAAAAGAAGAUUUGCAUUUAAAACAAAAAUUUGCAACAUCAAAAAGAUUUGCAAACAAAAAAUGACACCCAAAAAACAUAUCUGCAACAAAAAAAGUGUGCAUCUAAAAGAAAUAUUUGUAGGCAAAACAAUUAUUUUGUUCCAAAAGACAAUCUGCAACCAAAAGGAAGCGCUGAGAAAUAUUUGUAACCAAAUAACGAUUUGCAACUCAAAAAUGUUUUUGUAAAAAAAAAAAAUAUAUAUAUUUUUUAAACCAAACUACCAUUUUUAAACUAAAAAAACAACAAUAAUUGUGUGAAUGUUUUAAACCUUCACACAUGUUUUCUACACCAAAAUUAAUCUCUUUAUUAUUAUUCUCCACAUUUUGGCGCGCUCUACCUUCCACAUUUUUCACCUCAUUCAAAGCGUUCCAACUUCAAACUGUUCAGCCUAUUCAGGAUUUGCAGGCUUUCCCUAGACAAAUUCCAAAAAUUCCCAGAUUUCCAGGUUUUCCAGGACAUUUUUCCCAUUCAAAAUGAAUUGUCCAUUUUUCAAACUUCCACCAUUUUCCACAUUUUUGAACCUAUUCAAACCAUUUCACCUUCAACACAUUCCACUCAUCCUGGACGUUUAAACUAUCAUUUUUCCAAGUUCAAAAAAAUUCCAGGAAUUCCCAGAAUUCCCUUUUUUUCAAACCCUAUUUUCACCCUUUUUUCUGUCGACUACUCCUUCCACAUUUUUCAACCCACUUCAACCAUCAAAACAUUCCUCUUAAUCAGGACAUAAAAACGAAGUGGGUUUUUUUUUAGUGGAAAAAUUCCCGGUUUUCCCAAAAUUCCUUAACACAAUUUCUCAAUUAAAAAUGUUACUACUUCAACAUUUCUCCACCGAUUUGAAAAAUUCCAACACCAACCAUUUCAACUCAUUCAGAACAUUCAAGUCUUUUAACAUUUUCCCAAAAAUUCCCACUUUUUCCCCGAAAUUCCCAAAUGUUCAUGAAAUUCCCAUUGAUAUGAAAGGGACAUUUUUCAAAGUUCCACAACUCCCACAUUUUUCAUCCGAUUCAAACUGUUCCAACUCCAAAAUUAUCAGCCUGUUCAAAAUUGUGUGCUCUCUUUAAAAACAUUUUUAAAAUUCCUGGAUUUCCAAGAAUUCCCAGUUUUCAGGGAAAUUUCCCCAUUCAAAAUGAAUUGUCAAUUUUUUAAACUUCCACAAUCCCCACAUUCUUCAACCCAUUCCAACAUCAACACAUUCCACUCAUCCUGGACGUUCAAACUAUCAUUUUUCCAAGUUCAAAAACAUUCCAGGCAUUCCCAGAAUUCCCUUUUUUUCAAACCCUUUUUUCUGUCGACUAGUCCUUCCACAUUUUUCAACCCACUUCAACUGUUCCACCGUCAAAACAUUCCUCUUAAUCAGGACAAAAAAACUAACUGUUUUUUUUAAGUGGAAAAAUUCCCGGUUUUCCCGAAAUUCCUUAAUACAAUUUCUCAAUUAAAAAUGUUACUACUUCAACAUUUCUCGACCGAUUUGAAAAAUUCCAACACCAACCAUUUCAACUCAUUCAGAACAUUCAAGUCUUUUAACAUUUUCCAAAAAAUUGCCGCUUUUUUCCCCGAAAUUACCAAAUGUUCAUGAAAUUCCCAUUGAAAUGAAUUUUUCAAAGUUCCACAACUCCCACAUUUUUCAUCCGAUUCAAACCCUUCCAACUCCAAAAUUAUCAGCCUGUUCAAAAUUGUGUGCUCUCUUUAAAAAAAAUCCUGGAUUCCCAAGAAUUCCCAGUUUUUAGGGACAUUUUCCCCAUUCAAAAAUGAAUUGUCCACUUUUUAAACUUCCACAAUUCCCACAUUCUUCAACCCAUUCAAAGCAUUCCACCUUCAACACAUUCCACUCAUCCGACUAACACUUUCCCAAGUUCCAAACCAAAUUCCGUUUUUCCUGGAAAUUCAAACUCUUAAACAUUCAAACCAUUCCAACAAUCAAACUAUUCUUACAUUCAUACUACAUUCUGUCAGCAUUGGAGCAUUCACACGCAAUUCCUUCAGGAAUGGCCUCAUCUAGUUUCAAAUCCAUGUUUGGUUGCGUAAAAAGAGAACACUCUCCCGAAACGUGGUGACAAUAUAAAAGUACCUCCUCCUUGGCCUGCUCCACAAAGCCCAGGACCUGGUCUAGAUGAGACCUGCUGACCAGCGCUCCCAUCCGCGUGGUCUCCAGUAAGGGGUCUCCGAUCUCAAUAGCCCGGGUUCUCUUCACCACUUCGUCCACAAACUCGGGCAGGAUGUCACUCUGGACAAAAACUCUUGUGGCGUUGCUACAAACCUGGGAACGGAGCACGGGUGUGACGAUGAGGUCGGGGGAGGGGUGAAGAGGCGGAGUCUACCUGGCCUUGAGAGAGGAAGUUGGCCAUGAGAGCUCCCCGCACGGCGUUCUGCAGGUCGCUGUCCUCAAAGAUGAUCAGGGGAGAUUUCCCCCCCAGCUCCAAUGUCACAGGCUUCACUCCUUUGGACGCCAUUUCCAUGAUCUGUGGGGCGGCAGGAAAUCAUUCUUAUUUUGACACGCCUCACCUGUCUUCACCACAAACAAAACAGCCAAUUAAGACAUGACAUGGAGCAGAAGUGCACGCACAACAAUAUCACAACAAGCUUUUCAAAACAAUAAUUAGGAUUAUUAGAUACAUAGCUUUUACUGGAGGAGGAAAGCUGCAUUGACUUCUUCUACAAUCAUCAUAAUGGGCCUCCUCCCAUAUUAUUAUUGCUCAUACUUCAAACUUCAUUAUCAUAGUUCCGCGCGUUUCUCUUACCAUUAAUACCAGACGGAUCGGCCAACGAACCCCCACAUAUGUUUUUGCGUCAGUAAGGUCUCGCUCGCGCCUACAGCGGGACUUAUAGUUGUGGACAUUUCGUGUUACCAUGGCGACGCUAUUCACGGGUAAAUUUAAAAAAUGGGCCAAUUGAAUGGGUACAUACCCUUUUAAUGGACAAUGGCUCUGUGACAAACGGCAAAAAGACAAGAUUACCUCCUCUUGUAGCUCAGCCAUACUUUCACGUAGCUUGGUGCUUAACGUCUCAUUUUGUUCACACACACACAUAUAUAUAUAUAACUUGAAUACACCUCACGGUGAUGCUUGGACACG